rnacentral:rRNA from 1 species
GAUGAACGCUGGCGGCGUGCUUAACACAUGCAAGUCGAACGAUGAAGCCCAGCUUGCUGGGUGGAUUAGUGGCGAACGGGUGAGUAACACGUGAGCAACCUGCCCUUGACUCUGGGAUAAGCCCGGGAAACUGGGUCUAAUACCGGAUAGGAACGUCCACCGCAUGGUGGUUGUUGGAAAGAUUUAUCGGUCAUGGAUGGACUCGCGGCCUAUCAGCUUGUUGGUGAGGUAAUGGCUCACCAAGGCGACGACGGGUAGCCGGCCUGAGAGGGUGACCGGCCACACUGGGACUGAGACACGGCCCAGACUCCUACGGGAGGCAGCAGUGGGGAGUAUUGCACAAUGGGCGAAAGCCUGAUGCAGCGACGCCGCGUGAGGGAUGACGGCCUUCGGGUUGUAAACCUCUUUCAGUAGGGAAGAAGCGAAAGUGACGGUACCUGCAGAAGAAGCACCGGCUAACUACGUGCCAGCCGCCGCAGUAA